UAUAGUUGAUCCACCAGAGCUUCUGGCCGCCGCCGGAGCUACGCCGGGGCCGAUUCGAAACCGCAGCUGCUUCGUGUUGUUAUUCCGAGCUGUUUAUGCUGCUGCGAAAAUGUGUGGGGCUGUGCUUUGAAGCUGCCUUUGAUUUUGAAUUGAGGUGAAAAGAACUUAUGAGGCGCUUGGAUUAUGGAAUUACGUUUUGAGGAUAUGGGCGCAGAAGUUACGAAUGGUUUAUUUAGUUGUUGUUGAGA